rnacentral:rRNA from 1 species
UUCGGACUGGACCUAGCCGUGGGCAACUGCUGCUGGGACCGGAAAGUUAUUCAAACUUGGUCAUUUAGAGGAAGUAAAAGUUGUAACAAGGUCUCCGUAGGUGAACCUGCGGAGGGAUCAUUA